rnacentral:rRNA from 1 species
GUGCAGCAGGCGAGAAUACUUUACAAUGUGCGAAAGCACGAUAAGGGAACUCUGAGUGCCUCCUAAGGAGGCUGUUCAGGUGUCUAAAAGCACCUGAAGGAAGGGCUGGGUAAGACCGGUGCCAGCCGCCGCGGUAACACCGGCAGCCCAAGUGGUAGCCACGUUUAUUGGGUCUAAAGCGUCCGUAGCCGGGCUGGGUAAGUUCCUUGGGAAAUUUGGCUGCUUAACAGUCAAGCUUUCAGGGAAUACUGCCCGGCUUGGGACCGGGAGAGGUCAGAGGUACUCCAGGGGGUAGGGGUGAAAUCCAUUAAAUCCUUGGGGGGACCACCGGUAGCGAAGGCGUCUAA